rnacentral:lncRNA from 1 species
CAAAGCUCUCUGAACAACAAGCAUCGGUGGUCAGGGAUGGCUGCUAGUCAAAUGUGAAUGUUCUUCAACCCGCCUUGUGGUUUCACUUCAGCUUCUUCUGGGAGGGGGUGGGUGGUUGAGGCCACUGAAGGCUUCUAGGACACUCAACGCUUUUCAACCUGUGGUCCGCGGGCCGCUGGUUCUCAGCUGGGGGAUGCAGAUGCUUAGAGAAAUGACUUAAACAUUUCAAAGAUCCUUUUUGAAUACUUUUUUUCUCCCAAAAAAAUAUAUCGUAAAAAUCCAUAUGAUUCUUAGUAAUAACGAUUGCUCUCGAUUUCGUUCACUGAUAUAAUGUACUGUAAAUAUGAGCUGCAAGAUAUUUUAUUUUGUUCUCUGGAAGAAGUUUGACACCACUGUUUUUGACUUAAGCUAUGGCAACUUGUACGGUGGGAUGCUGAAGAGAACAAUGAAGGCAGCCUGGCCGACUGAACAUCACAACAGCAGCACACACUGAGACGCAUGCAUUUACAUGAACUGUUGCUCGUGACUGUUUCAUAAUGGAUGAUGAAACUUCCUCUUUUUAGGAGUACUCAGAACAGCUACAGAGCUGAGGGAAUGGGGGUUUGGCCAAAUAAAUGAAUGUUUUAUCAUUUAAUACAACAUCUAAAGUACCAGGAUUACAGUGGAGAUAACAUGAUAAAUGAUCCAAUUCUAAUCUGUGUAAAUGAUUAUUAAUUGUUAGUUCGAUUUUCCAAAGUUUCCAAUUUGCAAUUGUGGACUCUCCACAGAAAUGCAACCUUCGCACGCUAUCUAACACCCAUGCUAUCUUUCUGUACAAAAACAUGACAGUAACCUAAAUACUUUGACAUUUAAGUCAUUUAGCAGAGCUAUAUUUAACUCUUAUCCUGAGCGACUUACAGUUGUGAGUGGAUACAUUUUCACACGUUUCUCAUACUGACCCACAUCAGUAUCAAACCCACAACCAUGGGUAUCAAACCCACAACCAUGGGUAUCAAACCCACAACCAACUGAGCUACAAAUAACCUAAAUACUGAACUAUGGGCUAUGGGCUAUUACAAAAGUCAUUUUGAAUUGUGUUUUGUGGGCAG